rnacentral:rRNA from 1 species
AGAGUUUGAUCAUGGCUCAGGAUGAACGCUGGCGGUAUGCUUAACACAUGCAAGUCGAACGGAUGUUUUCGGACAUUAGUGGCGGACGGGUGAGUAACGCGUGAGAAUCUGCCUAUAGGUUGGGGACAACAGAUGGAAACGUCUGCUAAUACCCGAUGUGCCGAGAGGUAAAAGCUUUAGUGCCUGUAGAUGAGCUCGCGUCCGAUUAGCUAGUUGGUUGGGUAAAGGCUGACCAAGGCGACGAUCGGUAGCUGGUCUGAGAGGAUGAUCAGCCACACUGGGACUGAGACACGGCCCAGACUCCUACGGGAGGCAGCAGUGGGGAAUUUUCCGCAAUGGGCGAAAGCCUGACGGAGCAAUACCGCGUGCGGGACGAAGGCUUUUGGGUCGUAAACCGCUUUUGUUAGGGAAGAACACAAUGACGGUACCUAACGAAUCAGCAUCGGCUAACUCCGUGCCAGCAGCCGCGGUAAUACGGGGGAUGCAAGCGUUAUCCGGAAUUAUUGGGCGUAAAGCGUCCGCAGGUGGUUUAUCAAGUCUGCUGUCAAAGCGUAGGGCUUAACCCUAUAAAGGCAGUGGAAACUGAGAGACUAGAGUACGGUAGGGGUAGCGGGAAUUCCCAGUGUAGCGGUGAAAUGCGUAGAUAUUGGGAAGAACACCAGCGGCGAAGGCGCGCUACUGGGCCGAAACUGACACUCAUGGACGAAAGCUAGGGGAGCGAAAGGGAUUAGAUACCCCUGUAGUCCUAGCUGUAAACGAUGACAACUAGGUGUUGCGCGUAUCGACCCGUGCCAGUGCCCGUAGCUAACCGCGUUAAGU